rnacentral:rRNA from 1 species
CCUACGGGUGGCAGCAGUAGGGAAUAUUGCUCAAUGGGGGAAACCCUGAAGCAGCAACGCCGCGUGGAGGAUGAAGGUUUUCGGAUUGUAAACUCCUUGUGUUAGAGAAGAGAAUGACGGUAGCUAACGAAUAAGCACCGGCUAACCCCGUGCCAGCAGCCGCGGUAAUACGGAGGGUGCAAGCGUUACUCGGAAUCACUGGGCGUAAAGAGCGCGUAGGCGGGAUAGCAAGUCCGAUGUGAAAUCCUAUGGCUUAACCCUAGAACUGCAUUUGAAACUGUUAUUCUAGAGUAUGGGAGAGGUAGGUGGAAUUCUUUGUGUAGUGGUUCAAUCCCUAGAGAUCACGCG